ACAGACGUCACGUAAGGAGGACCUUCUCUAUGCCACCAUUGAGCAUAGGAGCGAACAGACAGCAGGGCAUGGCACAAACCCUGGCAGAAGAGACUCCGCUGAAAAUGAUUGUGAUUAUGCUGAAGUUAAACUUCCCUGUAAGACAGUGAAAAAAUCAGAAAACAGCGAAGACUGUGCAGAUGACUAUGUCUUGAUGAGCUGAGGCUUAUCUUUUCCAACAAUAAUGUUAGCUAUAUUUAUGAAAGAGCCUGCACGUUGGAGGAUGUUCUUUUGAAGGGGUUUCAUCAGCCCUCAUUAAGAGCAGUAUUAGGACUCGUGUGUAAUUUCAUCCACAGAGUAAGAGUGCACUGAUGAAUCUGCAUUUACCGACUGCAAACCUCGUGACAGUAUGCAUCGUAGGCACAUCAUUGAUCUGCAUUUAUCAGAAAUGUCUUUGUGCAUUCAGGUAAGUCUGGAGUGAGUCACGCAUUGAAGAGUUCAGCUGAAGAGUUGUAGAUGGAGUUUACUCUCUGCACGUAACUGGCAUAGGGUUGCAAUUCAUCAGGAUCACAGGGCUGAAAAUGGUCAUGAGCAAGAAACUGUUAACCACAUACAUCAAAGCGUUUCAUUAUUAUUAUUAUUAUUAUUAUUAUUAUUAUUGUUGUUGUUGUUGUUGUUCUUGUUAAAUAGAUGAAAAAUAAUCAUGUAAAAGAGGAAGGAAUAUAUUUUACCUGUUGAGGUUUUUCAUCAUUUGUCGCAGGGGUGUCAGGUUUGCAGCAAAUCUUUCGAAAAACACUGCAAUUCAAUAAACAAGAUAAAUAAUAAAUGCCCCAGUUUGGAUACCGAAAUUCUGAGUGAAUAAACACAUCUGGAUAAAAGGACUGUUUUUUAUUUCUAACAAAAACACAAGCCAAAGCUAAAGUAUCACUUAGAUCACUCCUCUCUUGAAGAUGUGGAUUAAAGGUAGACUGCCUUUCAGAUUUUUCAAGUGUAGGUCAUAAAAAUAAUUUUCCCAACACCCAAUUAUUUUUGUUUAGUGGACUGAAAGCUACUGAAUUUGAAUCACAGACUUCCAAUUUUAUUAGUUUUUUUUUAAUAGAACAAUUAAUUAAUUAAUUUAGGGCCACAUGGCCCUAAAUUCUCUGCUAUUUUUUCCUGCUUGAAAUAGGAGAGAAAAAUGGAGGACGUGAGUGUGCAAAUGAACCGUGAAAGACCGACUACAGUAACGGAAAGAAAGCGAGAAGAAAAGAUGUUAUGUUAUAUACGAAGGAAAGGAAAUGCAGCGAGCACCUCGGUGUGAUCAGCUGUUCGUUUAAUGACAGAAUGAUGGAACUGUCAGUGCACGCUCGAAGGUAAACCUGUAGAUGGCAGUAAUGCAACACUGUGGAUGCCAGCUGCUGUAAAACCCAAAAGAAGAAGAAGAAGUACAACAAAACAAAGACGAUAAAGACAGCAGUGCACAAACUAACAAUGAACACAAGAUGUGUAAUGAACCAAGAGAAGAGAACAAUACUGAAGACACCAAAAAAAAAGGCUACAGGAAUGAUAGACCACAUAAGAAACAACAGGAUACAAAAAUAUUUGAACAACUGAGAACAACUUUUCUGCUUUUCACCUUUUUUGUCAUUUUUAUUUGGUUUUAUUGUCUCUUUUUUUGACAACCUGCAUUUUAAGUCUAAUUAAGUUCAAAAGAGAGAGAAAAACUAAAGCUGGUGAAGGAAUGACUGUUAAUAGCUGCUACACUAUACAGUACCAGUCAAAAGUUUGAACACACCUUCUAAUUCAAUGUUCAUCUCAUCUCAUCUCAUUAUCUCUAGCCGCUUUAUCCUUCUACAGGGUCGCAGGCAAGCUGGAGCCUAUCCCGGCUGACUAUGGGCGAAAGGCGGGGUACACCCUGGACAAGUCGCCAGGUCAUCACAGGGCUGACACAUAGACACAGACAACCAUUCACACUCACA